GACGAACGCUGGCGGCGUGCUUAACACAUGCAAGUCGAACGGAAAGGCCCUGCUUUUGUGGGGUGCUCGAGUGGCGAACGGGUGAGUAACACGUGAGUAACCUGCCCUUGACUUUGGGAUAACUUCAGGAAACUGGGGCUAAUACCGGAUAGGAGCUCCUGCUGCAUGGUGGGGGUUGGAAAGUUUCGGCGGUUGGGGAUGGACUCGCGGCUUAUCAGCUUGUUGGUGGGGUAGUGGCUUACCAAGGCUUUGACGGGUAGCCGGCCUGAGAGGGUGACCGGCCACAUGGGGACUGAGAUACGGCCCAGACUCCUACGGGAGGCAGCAGUGGGGAAUAUUGCACAAUGGGCGGAAGCCUGAUGCAGCAACGCCGCGUUCGGGAUGACGGCCUUCGGGUUGUGAACCGCUUUCGCUUGUGACGAAGCGUGAGUGACGGUAAUGGGUAAAGAAGCACCGGCUAACUACGUG
rnacentral:rRNA from 1 species